rnacentral:hammerhead_ribozyme from 1 species
AUCCAGCUGACGAGUUCCACAUAAAAUGAAACACCUGUCCUGGAU